rnacentral:rRNA from 1 species
UUGACCUCGGAUUAGGUAGGAAUACCCGCUGAACUUAAGCAUAUCAAUAAGCGGAGGAAA